rnacentral:pre_miRNA from 13 species
AUGCUGUACAGUGAAGCCCGGAUUCUGUGUGUGCUGCGUUUGCUGAUUUGCCAUACACAUAAAUAUACGUAGCACCACAUGAUUCGGCUUCGUGGUGCUAGCAACU